rnacentral:rRNA from 1 species
AGCCCCAAUAGCGUGCAUUAACGUUGUUGUGGUUGAACAGCCUGUAGUUGGAUUUCUGCCGAGGACGAUUGGUCCGCCCCGCGGGUGAGCAUCUGGGACGGCCUGGGCAUCUUAUUGGUGAUCGUGUCCGCACUUGGCGGUGUGGUGCGGCAUCCAGGACUUCUAAUGUGAGGCCGUUCGAGUGUUUCAAGCAGGCCCACGUCUUGAAUACAUCAGCUUGGAAUAAUAAGAUACAACCUCGGUUCUAUGUCGUUUGUUUCUAGAGCUGAUGUAAUGAUUAGCAGGGGUAGUUGAGGGCAUAUGUAUUUAUCUGUAAGAGGCGAACUUCUGCGAUUUGUUAAAGACGGACUAGUGCGAAACCAUUUGCCAAGCACGAUU